AAUCAACGCUGGCGGCAGGCCUAACACAUGCAAGUCGAACGGAUCCUUCGGGAUUAGUGGCGGACGGGUGAGUAACACGUGGGAACGUGCCUUUUGGUUCGGAACAACUCAGGGAAACUUGAGCUAAUACCGGAUGUGCCCUUCGGGGAAAGAUUUAUCGCCAUUAGAGCGGCCCGCGUCUGAUUAGCUAGUUGGUGGGGUAAAGGCCUACCAAGGCUACGAUCAGUAGCUGGUCUGAGAGGAUGAUCAGCCACAUUGGGACUGAGACACGGCCCAAACUCCUACGGGAGGCAGCAGUGGGGAAGUCUUGCGCAAUGGGCGAAAGCCUGACGCAGCCAUGCCGCGUGAAUGAUGAA
rnacentral:rRNA from 1 species